rnacentral:rRNA from 1 species
AUUGAACGCUGGCGGCAGGCCUAACACAUGCAAGUCGAGCGGUAGAGAGGUGCUUGCAUCUCUUGAGAGCGGCGGACGGGUGAGUAAUGCCUAGGAAUCUGCCUAGUGGUGGGGGAUAACGUUUCGGAAACGGACGCUAAUACCGCAUACGUCCUACGGGAGAAAGCGGGGGAUCUUCGGACCUCGCGCCAUUAGAUGAGCCUAGGUCGGACUAGCUAGUUGGUGAGGUAAUGGCUCACCAAGGCGACGAUCCGUAACUGGUCUGAGAGGAUGAUCAGUCACACUGGAACUGAGACACGGUCCAGACUCCUACGGGAGGCAGCAGUGGGGAAUAUUGGACAAUGGGCGAAAGCCUGAUCCAGCCAUGCCGCGUGUGUGAAGAAGGUCUUCGGAUUGUAAAGCACUUUAAGUUGGGUAGGAAGGGUAGGUAACCUAAUACGUUGCUACUUUGACGUUACCGAC